AUUGAACGCUGGCGGCAUGCCUUACACAUGCAAGUCGGACGAGUGGCGAACGGGUGAGUAAUAUCUCGGAACGUCCCGAGUAUUGGGGGAUAACUACUCGAAAGAUUAGCUAAUACCGCAUAUUAUUCGAGCGGCCGAUAUCUGAUUAGCUAGUUGGUGGGGUAAAGGCGUACCAAGGCGACGAUCAGUAGCGGGUCUGAGAGGAUGAUCCGACACACAGGGACUGAGACACGGCCCAGACUCCUACGGAAGGCGGCAGUGGGGAAUUUUGGACAAUGGACGCAAGCCUGAUCAGGCCAGGCCGCGUGUCUGAAGAAGGCCUUCGGGUUGUAAAGGACUUGGAGCAGGGAAGCGUUACCGGAAGAAGAAGCACAGGCUAACUACGUGCCAGCAGCCGCGGUAAUUC
rnacentral:rRNA from 1 species